CAUAUAACUUGAAAAACUUUUUGCUACUUAGCUAUAUUGCACAAUGUACCUAACUCAAGGCUUGUUCUCUUAAGACAUGUAUUUUGAGUGUAAUAGAUUAAGGCAGAAAUACGAUUAUAGAAGCAUCGGUUAACUAGGACCUAACAUUAUCAUGUUACCUAACAUUUUCUAUAGUAAUUACUUUGAACUUUACAAAAAGCUUUCUUUUGAACAUUAUAAAAAUUUGAAGGAUGAAGUAAUUGAUCGAGUUACAUGUUGUUUCAAAUUGUUGGUUUUUAUGUAUACAUGUACCUAUUCGCAGAUUCAGACAACUUUAUAUAUCGCGUGUAUGCAAAGUUGUUUGACACUUUCUUAAUUUACUAUGGACACUGAUAACAAAUGUAUGCAUACUGUUAAUGUAUCGGGGCAUAGAUGAAUCAGUUAGAACCAUUGAAACAUUUACUAUAUUAUCUUCAUUUUAAUUAAUGUCAUAACUCCUUGAUGAAAAUGGAAGUAAAAAUGUUCCAAUUGUAGGUGUCCCAUUAGUUUCAAGGAUUAUGAAAAAUAUGCAUGACUUGUGCUUAGUUACAGGUUUAGAGCAAUUGAGAUACCGGCGUUUGUUUACCGCUUGAAGUAUAUAUAUUCAUAGAGUAUGUUUUUUCAUUGUUUCAUUAUAACCUUGAUAUCUGCCUGUAUUUGUACACGUUGAAAGAGGAGCUCUAAGCUUGAAUAGCAAAAAGAGAGCAGUAUGAUCGCAGAGCCGAAGUACCAUGCCACAGACGAGAUAUUGCUACUCGAAAGACCCUGAAUAUGAUGCAAGUUAUUAUGAUGAAAUAUUUUAUAACAAUACAUAGGGUGAUACCAUAUGGCGUAAGAUUAUUUCUAUGUUCCUAGUGGUAUUCAGUCACGGUGAAAUGACAGAAACACCUUUGCUACAGAUACAGAACUUACUCCGUUUACAUGAUAACCCAUUGGUUACUUGAACCAUCUAUGAGUAUAAUAAUGUAUUGUAUAUUAUGUAAUGUUUGCGACCAAAGUACAGGAUCUACAAUACCAACACGUAGAGAAA